CCUACGGGCGGCAGCAGUGAGGAAUAUUGGUCAAUGGGCGGAAGCCUGAACCAGCCAAGUAGCGUGCGGGAGGAAGGCCCGACGGGUCGUAAACCGCUGUUGCACGGGGAUAACACCCGCCACGUGUGGAGGUCUGCAGGUACCGUGCGAAUAAGGGCCGGCUAAUUCCGUGCCAGCAGCCGCGGUAAUACGGAAGGCCCGAGCGUUAUCCGGAUUCAUGGGGCUAAAAGGGAGCGUAGGCGGGCGUUCAAGUCAGCUGUAAAAUCGCGCGGCUCAACCGCGCCCCGCAGUUGAAACUGGCCGCCUUGAGUUCACCACAGGCAGGCGGAAUUCGUGGUGUAGCGGUGAAAUGCAUAGAUAUCACGAGGACCCCCGAUUGCGAAGGCAGCCUGCCGGGGUGCGACUGACGCUGAGGCUCGAAGGUGCGGGUAUCACACAGGAUUAGAUACCCGUGUAGUC
rnacentral:rRNA from 1 species